CCUACGGGCGGCAGCAGUGGGGAAUAUUGCACAAUGGGGGCAACCCUGAUGCAGCGACGCCGCGUGAGCGAAGAAGUACCUCGGUGUGUAAAGCUCUAUCAGCAGGGAAGAAAGUGACAGUACCUGACUAAGAAGCCCCGGCUAACUACGUGCCGGCAGCCGCGGUAAUACGUAGGGGGCAAGCGUUAUCCGGAUUUACUGGGCGUAAAGGGGGCGCAGGCGGCGCGGCAAGUCAGAUGUGAAAGGCCGGGGCUCAACCCCGGGACUGCAGUUGAAACUGUCGAGCUGGAGUGUAGGAGGGGUAAGCGGAAUUCGUAGUGUAGCGGUGAAAUGCGUAGAUAUUAGGAGGAACACCAGUGGCGAAGGCGGCUUACUGGACGAUGACUGACGCUGAGGCUCGAAAGCGUGGGGGGCAAACAGGAUUAGAUACCCGAGUAGUC
rnacentral:rRNA from 1 species